GACGAACCGUGCGAACGUUAUUCGGAUUCACUGGGCUUAAAGGGCGCGUAGGCGGACGAGCAAGUCCGGGGUGAAAUCUUUCGGCUUAACCGGAAAAGUGCCUGGGAAACUGGCGGUCUCGAGGGAGGUAGGGGCCUGUGGAACUUCGGGUGGAGCGGUGAAAUGCGUUGAUAUCCGAAGGAACGCCGGUGGCGAAAGCGACGGGCUGGAUCUCUUCUGACGCUGAGGCGCGAAAGCCAGGGGAGCAAACGGG
rnacentral:rRNA from 1 species